rnacentral:miRNA from 1 species
AUAGUGGGAAGCUGGCAGAUUC